AAUGAACGCUGGCGGCGCGCCUAAUACAUGCAAGUCGAGCGAGAAGACGUAGCAAUACGUUUGUAAAGCGGCGAACGGGUGAGGAAUACAUGGGUAACCUACCCUCGAGUGGGGAAUAACUAGCCGAAAGGUUAGCUAAUACCGCGUACGCUCCUUGGACUUCGGUUCAGGGAGGAGAGCGAUACCGUGGGUAUCGCGCUCUUGGUUGGGCUCAUGUCCUAUCAGCUUGUUGGGAGGUAACGGCUCACCAAGGCUUCGACGGGUAGCUGGUCUGAGAGGACGAUCAGCCACACUGGCACUGCGACACGGGCCAGACUCCUACGGGAGGCAGCAGUAAGGAAUAUUGCGCAAUGGGCG
rnacentral:rRNA from 1 species